UCAGCUGAGAGGGGAUGAAGGCCUGAAGAACCACAGUCACACACCAGCAUGGGACAGAAAUGGCACUAAGUUACCUUCUUCUGCAGGACUGGAUGUGCUCCCAGGCACAAAAGCCUUGCUGGUUGCUCUGCAAGGUGAGAGCUCCUCUUCCUGCCCAAUCUCAGCCUCUGGUGCCUUGCUUUAGUGUGAGAGGACAAAGUUCAGCUCCUGUAACCAAACAUAAGCAUAGUUCCACAUCCAACCAUGACAUUGGUAAAAGGUAUUCAAGCUAGUGGUGCAAAUCUUUCUAUUUUUGGGACUUCGGGAUAGGCUAGUAUGUGUCUGGAGAGGUCUUUUGCUGGCAAAGGAAAGGAUGAGGUGGUAAGUUAUAACAGUGCAAAACAUUGGAGAGACUGCUUUUCAGCUGCUUUAACAACUCUGGCACUACAGCACCAUGUAUCCAUGGAGGCUGCUUUUCUUCUUUGCAAUAUGAAGUAACGAAGGCAAUACAGUAUAUACCCACAUCGCCAUUUGAAUUACAACUCUUAGCAGCCUGACACUUGCUUUACACUUCAUGCACAGAGAUAAAUUUGCCCUUAUUUGAGAGAAGGGAAAAUUAUAAUUUAUUCAUAAUUAGUUUUCUACUUUGUGUAUGCAAAAGGAAACUUCUCUAUAUUAUAGAACUCCAUCAAGCAGUUAUCAGCUCUUAGCUUUACCACAACGUAACUGAACAGCUCUACAGCCUUUUCUCCCCUCUCUUUAUGAUUAUAUGGUACAAAACUUUCAUUCAAUAUUGUUCCUUUACACUGCACUGCAUAAAGAGUGGUUUAUCCGGA